rnacentral:lncRNA from 1 species
CUGAAGCUUUACCCCGGGUUUAUUCAAGUUGCAAGUGUGUUAAAGUAUAUAAAGCAAUAAUCUGAGUAACCACAAUUUACAAGCUCCUGGAGUUGUGUGGGGUUUGCUCUCCAGCUGCAGUGUUAGUACUGAUCACUGUUACCCAGAAAACCUAGGGCAGAAGGGCAGAGCUGCUUGUGGACAGGUAGAACUGGUGAUAUUGAGGUAGCCUUGGCAUAUGAAUCAAAGAGGAGAAAAGGACCUGGGUAUAAAGAAGCUUCUUUAUCCUACUGAAAUCUUAACUUUGCAGAAUUUCUUGGAAGCCAGUGCUUCUCACUGCCACCUACCUUCUGUGGGGCUGGCAGGCAUUGCCAACGGUGUCUCCUGAGGAAACAACAUGCAAGA